rnacentral:rRNA from 1 species
UGGGGAAUAUUGCACAAUGGGCGCAAGCCUGAUGCAGCCAUGCCGCGUGUACGAAGAAGGCCUUCGGGUUGUAAAGUACUUUCAGCGGGGAGGAAGGGAGUAAAGUUAAUACCUUUGCUCAUUGACGUUACCCGCAGAAGAAGCACCGGCUAACUCCGUGCCAGCAGCCGCGGUAAUACGGAGGGUGCAAGCGUUAAUCGGAAUUACUGGGCGUAAAGCGCACGCAGGCGGUUUGUUAAGUCAGAUGUGAAAUCCCCGGGCUCAACCUGGGAACUGCAUCUGAUACUGGCAAGCUUGAGUCUCGUAGAGGGGGGUAGAAUUCCAGGUGUAGCGGUGAAAUGCGUAGAGAUCUGGAGGAAUACCGGUGGCGAAGGCGGCCCCCUGGACAAAGACUGACGCUCAGGUGCGAAAGCGUGGGGAGCAAACAGG